GGGACACGUGGUAUCCUGUCUGAAUAUGGGGGGACCAUCCUCCAAGGCUAAAUACUCCUGACUGACCGAUAGUGAACCAGUACCGUGAGGGAAAGGCGAAAAGAACCCCGGCGAGGGGAGUGAAAAAGAACCUGAAACCGUGUACGUACAAGCAGUGGGAGCACGCUUAGGCGUGUGACUGCGUACCUUUUGUAUAAUGGGUCAGCGACUUAUAUUCUGUAGCAAGGUUAACCGAAUAGGGGAGCCGAAGGGAAACCGAGUCUUAACUGGGCGUUAAGUUGCAGGGUAUAGACCCGAAACCCGGUGAUCUAGCCAUGGGCAGGUUGAAGGUUGGGUAACACUAACUGGAGGACCGAACCGACUAAUGUUGAAAAAUUAGCGGAUGACUUGUGGCUGGGGGUGAAAGGCCAAUCAAACCGGGAGAUAGCUGGUUCUCCCCGAAAGCUAUUUAGGUAGCGCCUCGUGAAUUCAUCUCCGGGGGUAGAGCACUGUUUCGGCAAGGGGGUCAUCCCGACUUACCAACCCGAUGCAAACUGCGAAUACCGGAGAAUGUUAUCACGGGAGACACACGGCGGGUGCUAACGUCCGUCGUGAAGAGGGAAACAACCCAGACCGCCAGCUAAGGUCCCAAAGUCAUGGUUAAGUGGGAAACGAUGUGGGAAGGCCCAGACAGCCAGGAUGUUGGCUUAGAAGCAGCCAUCAUUUAAAGAAAGCGUAAUAGCUCACUGGUCGAGUCGGCCUGCGCGGAAGAUGUAACGGGGCUAAACCAUGCACCGAAGCUGCGGCAGCGACACUAUGUGUUGUUGGGUAGGGGAGCGUUCUGUAAGCCUGUGAAGGUGUGCUGUGAGGCAUGCUGGAGGUAUCAGAAGUGCGAAUGCUGACAUAAGUAACGAUAAAGCGGGUGAAAAGCCCGCUCGCCGGAAGACCAAGGGUUCCUGUCCAACGUUAAUCGGGGCAGGGUGAGUCGACCCCUAAGGCGAGGCCGAAAGGCGUAGUCGAUGGGAAACAGGUUAAUAUUCCUGUACUUGGUGUUACUGCGAAGGGGGGACGGAGAAGGCUAUGUUGGCCGGGCGACGGUUGUCCCGGUUUAAGCG
rnacentral:rRNA from 1 species